AGCGAACGCUGGCGGCAGGCUUAACACAUGCAAGUCGAACGGUCCUUCGGGAUAGUGGCGGACGGGUGAGUAACACGUGGGAACGUACCCUUAGGUUCGGAACAACACAGGGAAACUUGUGCUAAUACCGGAUAAGCCCUUCGGGGGAAAGAUUUAUCGCCUUUGGAGCGGCCCGCGUCUGAUUAGCUUGUCGGUGAGGUAAUGGCUCACCAAGGCUACGAUCAGUAGCUGGUCUGAGAGGAUGGCCAGCCACACUGGGACUGAGACACGGCCCAGACUCCUACGGGAGGCAGCAGUGGGGAAUCUUGCGCAAUGGGCGAAAGCCUGACGCAGCCAUGCCGCGUGGAUGAUGAAGGUCUUAGGAUUGUAAAAUCCUUUCACCGGGGACGAUAAUGACGGUACCCGGAGAAGAAGCCCCGGCUAACUUCGUGCAGCCGCCGCGGUAA
rnacentral:rRNA from 1 species